UGAGAACCAGGUUUUUUUUUUUUCUAUCAGUGAUGAGAAUGCUUAAUCUUCUGAUCAUUAUGGGUCAAGCAAGUUAACAAAUCCAAGUCUGCACCCCCAUGAUAUAUUUCACCCGGGGCUUGACUGAAGGGAAAGACGGUUCACUUGUCCUGUGUCUUUAAUGUCUUUGGCAACUUUUACAAUUCAGUUUACUAUCUGACUUCUAAUAUUUGACUAUACUGUCUUGUAAAACUGAGGCGUUAUAACUAUUCAAGUUCAGUCAUAGAUUCACCUCAGUUAAAAAACUACAUUCACCCCAAAUUAGACAUUACCCCAGCAUUUGCUGAAUCUACAGGAAGGUCAUCAUUUCUUUUUGUGAGCUAAUUAUUCAAUUCCUAUAUAUUUUUGUCGAGAGUAUUUGAUCUUUAAAAAUUUCACUGUUGUUCACAGGGAGUGAAUCUUUUUGAACCCUGAUUCUUGGAUGGGCUUGCUAAUCUCCUAAUGGUUUCAUUUCACCUCAGGAGCUGAUCCUUUAAAGUGGAUGACUGAGUGGAGGGGAGGGUAGAGCAAGUGCUUGAUAGCUAGGCCCAUACCUGGUAAAUGUCUUACCUGGGCUUGGUGCUUUGAGGUCUGAAUUGUUUCUAAAUGCCCCUUGGGAUGUGUGGAAUCUUACGACCCAUUACAAGAACAGGAGCGCAUUAAUCUUCUCUGACAACUCUUCUCUUUUAGACGUCGGGGAUUUUCGACCCGUUCUUUUAGUAGGGAAUUGAAUAACUUCUUCAAGGGAGGUUGACACUCCUUAUAUUUCGGCCAGUAUCAGCGAGAUUCAAUAAGUUUCAUGAAUGUCUUCCGAACCUGGUAUUCUCUAGAGAUGUCUCCAUGCCAGCAUUCUCCAUUGAGGCAGAACAACUCUCAUCAAUCUUUUCUCAUCACUCCUCAAUCCAUGCAGCCAGCUUUUCUGCAAGCUUCUCUUCGUGUCUCCCAUAAAGUCGAAUUAAACAGGACUGGGCAAUUCUGAAAGGACCAAGGAGCCUACCUAUAAGCUGAUGACAGGCAGAUCUUCCACUGUCUGCCCUUUCAGGUUCUGGAAACUGACCCGUGAUCUCAGGUCUUUGGGCAGUAUCUCGAUCUGACAUAACUUCCCGAACAAAUGAACUAUGACAAGCUCCACAGAUGGCGUCAGCCCCUCCAUCACACUGAUCCACCCACAGAAUUCUGCCCAGUUUCCUUGGAUCCACCAGCCACAACAAGCCUCGUGGUACCCACCAUCAUUCCACCUGGCAUCCAACCGGACCCACCACAACAGACAACGCAAUCCAGAUCCCUGAGACUCAGCGUGAGACAUCAUCCGUAGCCCUAACCCUCAUUUAUUGCUGCCUCUGCCAGCUCAAAUUUGGCAGAUCGGGUCUUUGGUCUCAGAAUCAAUUGUGGGAAUAUUUUGUGCUGAUUUCUUUGAGUCCUGUCAGCCAAGCAUCUGCUGUGCACUCUUCUAACACUCAGUGCAUCACCUUCAAUCCCAUGUGUGCUGUCCACUUGAGAGUGUGAGUCCAGGAUUCUGAGGCCUCAUCCUGUCUUUGGAAGUAACAGACCACUCUUCGGCAAGUGUCCUGUGCCAAGGGCUGGACGUCAGGAAUCUUGGACCUGUUCUUGGAGCAGGGAAUUGAGUAACUUCUUCAAGGUCACGUUGACACUCUGUAUAUUUCUUCCACUAUCAGCGAGGUUCAGUAUGUCUCAUGAAUUUCUCUCGAGCCUGGUAUUCUCUACAGAUGUCUCCAUGCCAGUAUUCCCAAUUGUAGCAGAACAACUCUCAUCAAUAUGUUCGCAUCUCUCCUCAAGCCGUGCAGCCAUCUUUUCUGCCAGCUUCUCUUUGUGUCUCCCAUAAAGUCGACUUCAACAGGACUGGGCAAUUUUGAAAGGACCUUGGAGACUCACCAGUAAGAUGAUGACAGGCAGAUCUUCCACUGUCUGCUCUUUCAGGUUCUGGAAACUGACCCGUGAUCUCAGGUCUUUGGGCAGCAGCAGUAUCUCGAACUUACACAGCUUCCUGAAGAAAAGAACUAAGAAAAGCUCCACAGUGGGUGACAGCCCCUCCAUCACACUGAACCACCCACAGGAUUCUGCCCAGUUUCCUUGGAUCCACCAGCCACAACAAGCCUCUUGGUACCCACCAACAUUCCACCUGGAUUCCAAAUGACGUCGGGAUUCUUGGACCCGUUCUUGGAGCAUGGAAUUGAGUAACUUCUUCAAGGGCAUGUUGACACUCCGUAUAUUUCUGCCAGUAUCAGCGAGGUUCAAUAUGUGUCAUGAAUGUCUUUCAAGCCUGAUAUUCUCUACAGAUGUCUCCAUGCCAGUAUUCUCCAUUGUAGCAGAACAAGUCUCAUCAAUGUGUUGGCAUCUCUCCUCAAUCCGUGCUGCCAGCUUUUCUGACAUCUUUUCUCCGUGUCUCCCAUAAAGUCGACUUCAACAGGACUGGGCAGUUCUGAAAGGACUUCGGACCCUCACCAGUAAGCUGAUGACAGGCAAAUCAUGCACUGUCUGCCCUUUCAGGUUCUGGAAACUAAUCCGUGAUACCAGGUUUUUGGGCAACAGCAUUAUCUCGAACUUACACAGCUUCCUGAACAAAAGAACUAAGACAAGCUCCACAGAGGGCAGCAUCCCCUCCAUCAAACUGAUCCACCCACAGAAUUCUGCCCAGUUACCUUGGAUCCACCAGGCACAAGAAGCCUCACGGUACCCACCAACAUUCCACCUGGAAUCCAAAAGACGUCAGGAAUCUUGGACCCGUUCUUGGAGCAGAGAACUGAGUACCUUCCUCAAUUGCACAUAGGUGUUCCACAGGUUUCUGCCAUUAUCAGCGAGGCUCAAUAUAUCUCGUGAUUGUCUUUCUUGCCUGGGAUCCUCUGCAGAAGUCUCCAUGCCAGUAUUCUCCAUUGUAGGAGAACAACCAUCAUCAAUGUGUUCGCAUCUCUCCUCAAUCCAUGCAGCCAAAUUUUCUGCCAGGUUCUCUUCGUGUCUCCCAUAAAGUCGACUUCUACAGGACUGGGCAUGUCUAAAAGUACCUCAGAGCCUCACCAGUAAGCUGAUGACAGGCAGAUCUUCCACUGUCUGACUUUUCAAUUUCUAGAAACUGACCCAUGAUCUCAGGCCACUGGGCAGCAACAGUAUCUCGAACUUACAGAGCUUCCUAAACAAUAGACUUAAGCCAAGCUCCACAGAGUGUGGCAACCCCACCAUGACACUGAUCCACCCACCGAGCUCUGCCAAGUUACCUUGGAUCCACCAGCUCAUAACAAGCCUUGUGGAACAAACCAACAUUCCACCUGGAAUCUAACCAGUAACUGCCAUCCUCAAUUUUUGCUGCAUUUUUACAGUGUUGGUGAAGGGGCUGCAUCAGACGACAGGUACUUAAGGUUUUCUGAGGCAUCAUUCUGUCUUUGGAAGUAAGAGACCACUCUUUGUCAAGUGUCCUGGACCACGGGCUGGGUGAGUGGAUGUUUAUCUUGCUGUGUACAUGGGAGCGAGUGGGCACUGUUUGCACAGGUACUCUGCCAAUUGGCUAUGAAUAAAUCAACACUUUCUAUAUAUAACACACAGAAAUGUGAUUCUUGUUUAUCUCUUUUUCUAUAAAGCCAUGGUGGGAGGGAUUCUCCAAAGAAUCCAGUUUUGACAUUGUGUUGAUACCUCAGUUGCGGUCUUUCAAAAUGUUAAUAGAAUUGAUGUACAAAUUAGGGAUUUAUAUGAAAAUGAAGUUAGUUUUUGAAACAUACUAAAUCUACCUACAAGCCAGACUUGUCAAAUUCAGGUAACAUUUUGUCAGCUCUAAGGGAAACAUAGACAGAUAGAAUGUAAAAUAGCAGUCCAAAAUGAUGAAGGUGUCAUGUCAACUGUUUACUGUUGAUGUCUGCAAUACAAAAAGGAAACAUAAAAUAAAUAUUGGAACCAUGAAAUAACCCCAACCCAGUGUUUCCAUUUUGCAUGUGGUGCCCUUUCUCCCAGUGACUCAUACUGGCCAAUGUUGUCAUUUCAAUGGGUAACAUUUCUCUCUAGGAAGACACAAGCAACCCAAACCACUUAUUUAAAUAUAGGCUUGGUUCCAAAACACCUAGAGGCAUUAUAGCUAUGAGAAAACUGCUGCAGCUUUGCUAGACUAUUGAGAAAAAGGUUCUCUUUUAUCAACGAUGAGAAAGGUAAAUCAUCUGAUCGUGUUGGGUAAAGCAAUUUAAGCCAACUAAGUGGGCACCCCGUGAUAUACUGCACCCGGGACUUGAACGAAGGGAAAAGACGGUCCACAUAACUUGUGUCCUUAUAUGUAUAUGGCGACUUUUACACUUCAGUUCACUAACUGACUUAUAAUAGUUACCUAUACUGUCUUGAAAAGCUGAGGAAAAAUACUUAUUCAAGUUCAGUCAAAUAAUCCCCUCGCUUGCCAAACUCUCUUCACCCAAAUAAGAUGUAACCCCAGCACUUGCUAAAUCAAGGGGUAGAUAAUCAUUUCUUUGUGUGAGCUAUAUAUUGAAACCCUAUCUAUUUUAUUCGAGAGUAUUUGACCUUUGAGGAGUUCAGUGUUGUGCACAGAGUGUGAAGUUGGAGGAACUCUGGUUCUAGGAGGGGCUUGCUAUUCUCCUUCUGGCUGCAUUGCAGCUCAGGGUCUGAUCCUUUGAAAUGGAUGCCUGAGUGGAGGGGAGGGAAAAGCAAUUGCUUGAUAGCUAAGCCCAAACUUGGGAAAAGGUUUAUCAGGGCUUCAUGCUCUGUGGUCUGUGAGAUUUGUAAAUGCCCCUUGGGAUGUGUGGAUUCUCACGACCUCUUCCAGGAACAUGAGUGGUUUUAUCAUCUUUGCCAUCUCUUCUCUUUUAGACGUCAGGAGUCUUGGGCCACUUCUUAGAGCAGAGAAUUUAGUACAUUCCUAAAAUGCACGUUGACUCUCCACAGUUUUAUGUUAGUAUCAGUGAGUCUCAAUAUGUCUCAUGAAUGACUUUCGAGCCUGGUAUUCUCUAAAGUAGUCUCCAUGAGAGUAUACUCAAUAUUAGCAGAACAACUUUCAUCAAUAUGUUCGCAUCUCUCCUCAAUCCGUGCAGCCAGCCUUUCUGCCAGCUUCUCUUCGUGUCUCCCAUAAAGUCGACUUCUACAGGACUGGGUAAGUCUGAAAGUACAUCAGAGCCUCACCAGUAAGCUGAUGACAAGCAGAUCUUCCACUGUCUGCCUUUUAGUUUCUAGAAAAUAACCCGUGAUCUCAGGCCAUUGGGCAGCAUCAGUAUCUCGAAAUAACACAUCUUCCUGAAGAAUACACCUAAGCCAAGCUCCACAGAGGGCAGCAGCCCCUCCAUGACACUGAUUCACCCACAGAGCUCUGCCCAGAUACCUUGGAUUCACCAGCCUCAACAAGCCUCGUGGAACACACAACAAUUCCACCUGGAUUCAAACCGGUUUUCUGAGGCCUCAUUCUCUUUUGGAACUAAGGGACCACUCUUCAGCAUGUGUCCUGAACCAAGGGCUUCACGUCAGGAAUCUUGGACCACUUCUUGGAGCAGAGAAUUGAGUACCUUCCUCAAGUAAACGUUGGCCCUCCACAGGAUUCUGCUAGUAUCAGUGAGGCUCAACAUGACUCAUGAAAGCCUUUCAAGCCUGGUAUUCUCUAAAGAAGUCUUCAUGCCAGUAUUCUCCAUUGUAGCAGAACAACUCUCAUCAAUGUGUUCGCACGUCUCCUCAAUCUGUGCAGCCAGGUUUUCUGCCAGCUUCUCUUCGUGUCUCCAUUAAAGUCGACUUCUACAGCACUGGGCAAGUCUGAAAGUACCUCACAGCCUCACCGGUAUGCUGAUGAUGGGCAGAUCUUCCACAGUCUGUCUUUUCAGUUUCUUGAAACUGACCCGUGAUCUCAGGUAGUGAAGGUCGCACAACAUUGUGAAUGCCCCUAAUGCUCCUGAAUUGCACAAUUUAAAAGAGGAAAUGUCUAUAUUUUAUUACAUGAAACUCUAAAAAAAAAAUAAAGGAUGCCAUAAAUGAUGAGAAACAAACAAAGGAAACUAAAGAAAACCAAACAAAAACAUCUCCAGCGGAAGGGAAGUCAAGUUUGGGAGGGGGAGGGGAUUGACGGUGGGAUUUUGGAGAACAUUUUGGAGAAGAAGUUGUGGGUGGGUGCAGAGGGGGCUCUGCCCCAGGGGGUGGUGAUGCCUGAACUGGUUCUCCAUUGCCCAGCAGUCCAGCUGCAGAUGCAGGUUCAGGAGGAGCUGCAGGAGAUGCAGGAGGGAGCUCGGGGUCUCCUGCUGGAUCCAGAUCAUCCUUUUUUGGUCUCUGACAUCUUCCUCUGCCCCUGCCUCCUGUGUAACUA